GACGAACGCUGGCGGCGUGCCUAAUACAUGCAAGUCGAACGCUUCUUUCCUCCCGAGUGCUUGCACUCCAUUGGAAAGAGGAGUGGCGGACGGGUGAGUAACACGUGGGUAACCUACCUAUCAGAGGGGGAUAACACUUGGAAACAGGUGCUAAUACCGCAUAACAGUUUAUGCCGCAUAGCAUAAGAGUGAAAGGCGCUUUCGGGUGUCGCUGAUGGAUGGACCCGCGGUGCAUUAGCUAGUUGGUGAGGUAACGGCUCACCAAGGCCACGAUGCAUAGCCGACCUGAGAGGGUGAUCGGCCACACUGGGACUGAGACACGGCCCAGACUCCUACGGGAGGCAGCAGUAGGGAAUCUUCGGCAAUGGACGAAAGUCUGACCGAGCAACGCCGCGUGAGUGAAGAAGGUUUUCGGAUCGUAAAACUCUGUUGUUAGAGAAGAACAAGGACGUUAGUAACUGAACGUCCCCUGACGGUAUCUAACCAGAAAGCCACGGCUAACUACGUG
rnacentral:rRNA from 1 species